rnacentral:rRNA from 1 species
GGAUAAGUCUUUACGGAGAAAGCUUUAUGCACCAUUGGAUGAGCCUGCACUUGAUUAGUUUGUUGGUAGGGUAAUGGCCUACCAAGACUGUGAUCAAUAGCUGAUUUGAGAGGAUGAUCAGCCACAUUGGGACUGAGACACGGCCCAAACUCCUACGGGAGGCAGCAGUGGGGAAUCUUGCACAAUGGAGGAAACUCUGAUGCAGCGAUGCCGCGUGAGUGAAGAAGGCCCUUGGGUUGUAAAGCUCUUUCGUCGGGGAAGAAAAUGACUGUACCCGAAUAAGAAGGUCCGGCUAACUUCGUGCCAGCAGCCGCGGUAAUACGAAGGGACCUAGCGUAGUUCGGAAUUACUGGGCUUAAAGAGUUCGUAGGUGGUUGAAAAAGUUGGUGGUGAAAUCCCAGAGCUUAACUCUGGAACUGCCAUCAAAACUUUUCAGCUAGAGUUUGAUAGAGGAAAGCAGAAUUUCUAGUGUAGAGGUGAAAUUCGUAGAUAUUAGAAAGAAUACCAAUUGCGAAGGCAGCUUUCUGGAUCAUUACUGACACUGAGGAACGAAAGCAUGGGUAGCGAAGAGGAUUAGAUACCCUCGUAGUCCAUGCCGUAAACGAUGUGUGUUAGACGUUGGAAAUUUAUUUUCAGUGUCGCAGCGAAAGCGAUAAACACACCGCCUGGGGAGUACG